CCUACGGGAGGCAGCAGCUAAGAAUAGUCCGCAAUGGGGGAAACCCUGACGGUGCGACGCCGCGUGGGCGAUGAAGGCCUGACGGUUGUAAAGCCCUUUUCUCGACGAAGAAUAAGGCGAGGAGUGGAACGCCUCGUCGAUGACGUUAGUCGAGGAAGAAGCCCCGGCCAAUUACGUGCCAGCAGCCGCGGUAACACGUAAGGGGCAAGCGUUGUUCGGAAUUAUUGGGCGUAAAGGGCGCGUAGGCGGUGCAGCAAGCUUGGUGUAAAAGGCUCGGGCUCAACCCGAGGAAUGCGCUGGGAACUGCUGCGCUGGAGUCUUGGAGGGGAAGCUGGAACUCCUGGUGGAGGGGUGAAAUCUGUAGAUAUCAGGAAGAACACCGGUAGCGAAGGCGAGCUUCUGGCCAAAGACUGACGCUGAGGCGCGAAAGCGUGGGGAGCGAACAGGAUUAGAUACCCUGGUAGUCCACGCCGUAAACGAUGUGCACUAGGCGUAGGGUGCGUUGAGUGCUCUGUGCCGGAGCUAACGCGUUAAGUGCACCGCCUGGGGAGUAUGCCCGCAAGGGUGAAACUCAAAGGAAUUGACGG
rnacentral:rRNA from 1 species